CUUUAACUUUUGGUUGUCCCUGAAGUGCUCAGGGAGUUGGACUUGAUGGUCUUUCAAGGUGAACUAUUCUAAUUUCUAAUUUCUAAUUAUUUGUGAUUUCUAACUUCAGUUUAAGCAAUGUGUUUAUCAGACCACAGAAAUCUGAUGUAGUUGUUUCUCUUAGUUGUCAAUUAAAUCCUGUCCACCACUUGGAACAAGAGAUGGGUUUAUGAUGUCACAGCCCCUUUUUCUACAUCUUUUUCUGUCUACUUCUCCCCCACGCCCCCCCCCUUUUAUUUCUUGUCCAAGUCAUGUUUCAUUGGCAAGGGCACUUUCACCUUUCCAAUAUUUCUGUGGACCACUGAGCACCGAGACAGGACUUCCAACAGCUGGGAACAAUGAUCUCAAGAAGAGUUUUAAAGUAGCCAGUGAUUGCAGAUGUAACACCAGAGUGGGAGCCAGCAAGGGGGCGAUUAUACCAGGUGGAGGCGGGAUGCUGAGCCAUGGAAUGAAAUGGUGAUUGUAAUUUCAGAAAGCAAACAGGUUAUCAGAGGCUUUUUCUCUACAAGUUGGCCAAAGGAACCCUGCAGUGCAGACGGCAGAUCAAGGAAGAGCUGAGGACAAAUGUAGAGGUCCCGGGAAUGUGGAGAGUUUGAUAAGGAGAUGAAAUUGAGCUAGGGGCUCUGUGGAUGUAGAAAUAAAAGGAAAAUCAAG
ensembl:lncRNA